rnacentral:rRNA from 1 species
AGCAGCCGCGGUAAUUCCAGCUCCAAUAGCGUAUAUUAAAGUUGUUGCAGUUAAAAAGCUCGUAGUUGAAUUUCGGGGUUCUACCGUUGGUCGGGCUUUGUCUGUACUGGCGUGUAGAAUUUCUACCUUCUGGGGAACCAUUAUGUUAUUAAUUUAGCGUAGUGGGAAACCAGGACCUUUACCUUGAAAAAAUUAGAGUGUUCAAAGCAGGCUUAUGUCUGAAUACAUUAGCAUGGAAUAAUAGAAUAGGACGGUGGUCCUGUUUUGUUGGUUUCUGAAUCACCGUAAUGAUUAAUAGGGAUAGUUGGG